GCGCGCGCCGGUUCCAACCAAAGAUACCGGUUCUAACGGUCGUGGGGGGUGGGUAGGUGUUUAGUGCGCCUGCGCGAUGCUCAGUUGUCCAUCACAAGCACAUUCCCUCAACAUUGCUCUCAAGUUGCUGAGAAUGUAUAUAUUUUCUCCUGCCUCUUUUGAAGACUCCGGUUGCCUUGCGGCUUUGAGAUGUCAAACAUCUUUCUGUGCCACACCUAAGCAGCUUUCCAUCUGGUUUAUACCAGAAAAGAUGCUGGGAAUCUGAAGCAACAAAGAACAAUCUGCUGGAGUAACUCGGUUGGCCAGGCAGAAUAUGUGGAGGCAGAUUGAAGCUUUGGGUCAUGACCCUACAUCAGAACCGUGGGUGUAAUGGGAUGGUCGCCAGUAUAAAAAGGCUUGGUCUAAUCUGCACAAUAGUCUAUGCAGCUGGUCCACUGAUGCAGGAGACACAAUUAAAAUAAGACUGGCAAGCUCGUCCCAAAUUGAACACAGUCCAAUAAUGCAGGCUGCUGAUGAAGCUAAUGAAGGAAUCAUUGACAUUGAGAAUUCGCACUUCACCUCCGACUGC